GCAUUAGUCUCCUGUGUGAUGAUUAUUUAAGCUCUAACACAUGCCACCUAAUAAUUGCCACUUUUUUCAGUUCCCUAAGAUUCACUUAUUAAUAAGCUAUUAAACAUCCUCUUGAAAUCAUUGCAUUGUAAUGGGCUGAGAUCAUUGCUCACACAGUGAUUGCAGUGCCCAAACUGGACCUACCAUCAUGAGUUUUACUCAGUGAUGCAAAGCUGAAGAACUUGAAGUCCAAGUUCCGCAUGCCCUGGGCAGCCACGAUGAGGUUCUUAAGGAAGGAACAGCAACCUGAAGGAAACAAAUUGCUUUUUAGGAAGAUUGCUUUGGAAUCAGAAGUAGGAAUAAAGCUACUUUAAUUGCAAACACUCUGUAGAAUUCGAAGUUUGAUUCAGGUUUGUUUUUUUCUCAUCUCUUUGUUGUUAAGAAGUUCAGCAUGGGAUGAAUUUCUCAGGAAGAGCUUCUUCAUCGUAGUCUGGCAUUGCCUGGUUUCUUCUGUCUUCACUGCUGGAUCAACUGGUUUGCAUCUCUGAUAUUUUCUACAGGUUGUGGUUUCGUUCAGAAGCGCUGCCUGUGAAGUUGUGCCAGACACCAGCAAGGGAGACUUUUCACUUAGGAGAGCACCUCAGGCUCUCUGCGUACCCUCAAGCUGCAGUUCCUGCUUCCCUGUUCCCUUCCAGUCUGUGACAUGCUGAUGUUCAAUAGCUGCCACAGGAACAGCCUCCUGGCAUUGAGACCCCAGUGAAAAGGGGAAGAGAAGGUUAUGGUAAUUCACACUAUCAGGGCCCUUUCCACUGUUUUCAGCAGCGCCCUGACAUCCCAAGAAGAGGGUCACAACCCAUAAAAAUG